UACGUAGGGUGCGAGCGUUAAUCGGAAUUACUGGGCGUAAAGCGUGCGCAGGCGGUUCUUUAAGCCUGGUGUGAAAGCCCCGGGCUUAACCUGGGAAUGGCAUUUGGGACUGCAAGGCUUGAGUGCGGCAGAGGAGACUGGAAUUCCUGGUGUAGCAGUGAAAUGCGUAGAUAUCAGGAGGAAUACCGAUGGCGAAGGCAGGUCUCUGGGCUGACACUGACGCUCAUGCACGAAAGCGUGGGGAGCAAACAGG
rnacentral:rRNA from 1 species